UACGUAUGGUGCAAGCGUUAUCCGGAUUUACUGGGUGUAAAGGGAGUGUAGGCGGCUGUGCAAGUCAGAAGUGAAAACCCGGGGCUCAACCCCGGGAGUGCUUUUGAAACUGCAUAGCUUGAGUGCAGGAGAGGUAAGUGGAAUUCCUAGUGUAGCGGUGAAAUGCGUAGAUAUUAGGAGGAACACCAGUGGCGAAGGCGGCUUACUGGACUGUGACUGACGCUGAGGCUCGAAAGCGUGGGGAGCAAACAGG
rnacentral:rRNA from 1 species